GGGGAUGCCGCGCCGGAGGAUUCGACUCGAACCUUUCUGAGUCGGCUCGAAGACGAGCACUCGACUCUAAGGGGAUGCUGCCCCGGAGGAUCCGGUUUGGGCCUAGCAGAGUUGGCGCGAAGAGGCGAAGCAGACGACUUAGGGGCGGCUGCGCCGGAGGAUCCGGUACGGGCUGAGCGGGGUUAGCUCGAAGAAACGAAAGCAGAAUGUGGCUACCCUGAUCGGCUGUUUGGUGAGUCAAAA